rnacentral:rRNA from 1 species
UCCCGGCAGUUCAAGUGGCAUCCAAUUUUAUUGGGUCUAAAACAUCCGUAGCUUGUUUGUUAAGUCUCUUGUGAAAUCUCGUGUCUCAAGCACGAGGCGCGCGGGAGAUACUGUCAAACUAGAGAUCGGUAGACGUAAGGAGUACGCUGGAGGUAGUGGUUAAAUACGUUAAUCUUCGGUGGACUAACAAUUUAGCGAAGGCAUCUUACGAGGACGAAUCUGACAGUGAGGGAUGAAGGCCAGGG